rnacentral:rRNA from 1 species
CCUACGGGAGGCAGCAGUGGGGAAUAUUGCACAAUGGGGGAAACCCUGAUGCAGCGACGCCGCGUGAGUGAAGAAGUAAUUCGUUACGUAAAGCUCUAUCAGUAGGGAAGAAAUACUGACCUUACGGUCAGCAGACGGUACCUGAGUAAGAAGCCCCGGCUAACUACGUGCCAGCAGCCGCGGUAAUACGUAGGGGGCAAGCGUUAUCCGGCUUUAAUGGGGGUAAAGGGGGCGUAGACGGUGCGCCAAGGCUGGAGUGAAAUGCCGCAGCUUAACUGCGGAACUGCUUUGGAAACUGGCGAACGAGAGUGCGGGAGGGGUAAGCGGAAUUCGUGGUGUAGCGGUGAAAUGCGUAGAUAUUAGGAGGAACACCGGUGGCGAAGGCGGCUUACUGGACCAUAACUGACGUUGAGGCUCGAAAGCGUGGGGAGCAAACAGGAUUAGAUACCCGUGUAGUC